AUGCACGGGUUGACGACUAGUCCUAUUAAUUACUAAUACAUCAAGGAUCUUCAUGUUGUUGGUUUUCUUACAAAUCCACUCAUUGGUAAUGAUGGUUUAAUUUCUUUGAUAUUUUCUUCAGUUUAGGGACAGCAGCAGUUUUACCACCGAUGGUGUUGCAUGUAAGCUGGAUGUUCUCAUUGUUCUCUUGGCUCUGAUCGGGUGAGUUCUUCCCUAUUUCCUUUUACGGUAGUACGGUUGUAUGCAUAUGCCUCUUGAUAUUUACCAGCUCUUCUUAGGAUUGCCUAACUAGCAUAUAUAUUCUCAGAAAAAUUAUCAUCUACGGCCCAUUGUCAGCUAUACAACUUUUGAAUUCUGUGAAGUUCAGUUCAGAUUUGAUAGCUAUGUCAAAACUCAAUAUUGUAUAACAUGUUUUUUGUAUGAGUGAUAUCAGCUUUCUGAGUCAGAUAAUUUUAUCGAACUUUCGCGCAAAGAAAACACACACAGGGCAGGAACAUGAGUACUCUCGCCCUUCCAUGUUUCUGGUCGAUUGAACUCUUCGGUGACCAGAAAAUGAGAAAAGGGCAGGUCGUCGAUGUACAGACCACAGGCGCUCGGACGCACGGCCGGCGUCAUGGUCGUCAUAGCUCAUAACCCAUGAGGGGGUGACGAAGCAAGAAAGGAAGAUCCCAUGAAUGUCAUUUUGCACCGAAGGUUUGUAACCAUUGGGGAAUGUUUUCUUGCUCUGA